CCCCUUCUCUACCCCGUCUCCUGGGGGCCGCCGCCGUCGCAGCCUCAGUGUCCCCCCAACGCGUCCUGCACCGGAGCUCCAGCCGUCCCUCUUCACGCGCACUCCUUCGUUCGCUGGCUCACGGGCAGGAAAACAACGGAAGGAGCGCGAGGUGAACUAGGCAGUACCCCGGCUGCGCCAUGAGCAAUCAGUUGAGGAGAUCUGCAUGGGAAGCAUCUGGGAGUCCUCUGACUCAGCCUGUGCUCUCCACACAGGGAUCCCUAAGGCCAUUGAGAUGGUCCAGGGGACAUCUGUUUUUACCAUGAAGACUUCUGAUUAGGCUUUUGACUCCCCACAAAAGUGCUGAAAAUUGAUGUGCCCUGUGGGCUUCUUCCAAGUAAAAGAAGACAGCCAGAAGUCUCCUAAGAAGUCGUGGAAGAUGAAAGCCUAAUCUACAGAGUUUGAUCAAUGAAUCAAUGAACAACUAUCACAAACA
rnacentral:lncRNA from 1 species